rnacentral:rRNA from 1 species
AGCUCCAGUAGCGUAUAUUAAAGCUGUUGCAGUUAAAAAGCUCGUAGUUGGAUCUUGGGCCCAGGCCUGCGGUCCGCCGUGAGGCGAGUACUGCAGUCCUGGCCUUCCUCUCGGUUUUCGCCCGGUGCUCUUAACUGAGUGCCAGGAGAGGCCGGAACGUUUACUUUGAAAAAAUUGGAGUGUUCAAAGCAGGCCUCGCGCCUGAACAGCAGAGCAUGGAAUAAUGGAAUAGGACCUCGGUUCUAUUGCGUUGGUUUUCGGAACUCGAGGUAAUGAUUAAGAGGGACUGACGGGGGCAUUCGUAUUGCGGUGUGAGAGGUGAAAUUCUUGGAUCGCCGCAAGACGACCGACUGCGAAAGCAUUUGCCAAGAAUGUUUUCAUUAAUCAAGAACGAAAGUAC